CGAGUUAUACACACCUGUAAUCAUAACCGCCUCGCCAAAUUACAACGUCAAUGAUAAUUAUAAAAAAACGAAAAUCGGGUAACAAAAAAAUAGGUAAACAGUCACUACGCAUACUCAUCGUGAGCGUAUAUUAUACCCUACAAUAUUAUUUUAUACCCCAUGGUAUUAAUUUGUUCCCUAUAAUAAUAUUUUAUACCGUUAUUGACUCACCGCACCGACAAUUAAUACGUAAAUAAGUUACGUUUUUUAAUAAUAUAAUCAAUAAAACAGACCGCGGUGACUAAAUACUACUUUCCAAAGUUCUAUUGUUUUUUUUUUUGCU